AUUCAUCCCCAAAUUCACCCCGACAAUCAAUCAGUUUCUCAUCCGUGGAAACCCUAGUUCCGACACCCCCCAUAAAGCUUUACUCUUUUGGCUUUCUCUUCAGUUUUCCGUUCGAUUCGCUUCGGAAUUCAACGGAUUUUCCGAUGAGUUCACCGUGCGCGAAGAGGAAUUGACGUUUUCCGGUAGAGAAAACUCUCCUGUUCUCAGAAGAAUUGUCGGUUUAUGUUUGGUCUGUCGGCGCUGAUUGAAUUCGAUUUAAUUCAAUCGAUCUGAAGAAUCCGGUGUUCUAUAAACCCACAGAAUCAGCUCCUGAGUUUAUCGGAUAGAAUCAUCAACCUCCUCAAGUGUGUACGCUAAGAGAGACAUUCGGCGUGAUUUGAUAGAUCGGAUCGAGGUCGUCCCCAGUCGAAGGAGUAGCGGUAGCAGUGGUUUGAUUUUGGUUAAUAAGCACGCCUUUAGAUAUUGCUGCUGAGUGAAGCUUGCGGAUUAUUUUGCUCGUGGAGGAUGUUCAACUGAUCUAUUGGAGGAAUUUGGUUUGACUGAUUUUCCUGAGUUAUUGAAGAGAAGUUGUGAGCUAGAAAAAAGAGCUUUUAAUAUUUUUGUACUUUAUAUCAAUUUUCUUUGAGUUCAAUAUCAGGCCUAUUAUAAUUUUUUGAUAGGCCUCUUUGUUGUUAUAUUGAUUGUUUGAGGAAAAAAAGGAAUUUUAAGAAAAAAAGAGCUAUGUCAGUUUAUUUUAAGUUUAAAAGUGCGAAAGAUUAUGAUUCAAUUCCAAUUGACGGUCACUUUAUUACUGUUGGUAACCUGAAAGAAAAAAUAUUUGAAUCCAAGCAUCUGGGCAGGGGUACAGAUUUUGACCUCGUUGUCACCAACGCCCAGUCUAACGAAGAAUAUCUUGAUGAGGACACCUUGAUUCCCAAAAAUACUAGUGUUUUGAUUCGUCGCGUUCCUGGACGACCUCGCAUGCCCAUAGUUACUGCACCUGUAACAGAACCAGACGAGCCCCAAGUAGAAUACCGAUCUGAGGAGGCUCAAGCAGUUAGAAGUAAUUUUGUGGGAGGGGAGUCAUCUGCCACCAAAUAUCCUGAAGAUCUUGAAUGGGAUGAAUUUGGAAAUGAUCUGUACGCUAUUCCUGAAGCAUUACCAGUCCAGUCAAGCAACCAAGUGCAGGAUGCUCCUCCUCCAAGUAAAGCUGAUGAGGAGAGUAAGAUCAAAGCUUUAAUUGACACUCCAGCCUUAGAUUGGCAGAGUCAACCCUCUGAUGGCUUUGGUGCUGGUAGAGGUUAUGGACGAGGUCAAGGUGGAAGAAUGAUGGGUGGACGUGGUGGGCGAGGUUUUGGUUGGGGUGGUGGGUUGGAACGGAAAACACCACCACCAGGCUAUGUAUGCCAUCGCUGUAAGGUGCCUGGGCAUUUCAUUCAGCACUGUCCAACAAAUGGUGACCCCAAUUUUGACAUUAGGAAAGUGAAACCUCCAACUGGCAUUCCGAAGUCCAUGUUAAUGGCAACCCCAGAUGGUUCAUAUGCUUUACCAAGUGGUGCCAGUGCUGUUUUAAAGCCCAAUGAGGCUGCUUUUGAAAGAGAAGUUGAAGGGAUGCCUUCUAUACGUUCCGUUGGUGAUCUUCCACCAGAGCUUCAUUGUCCCUUGUGUAAAGAAGUAAUGAAAGAUGCAGUGUUAACAAGCAAGUGUUGUUUUACCAGUUUCUGCGAUAAAUGCAUAAGGGAUCAUAUCAUCUCGAAGUCGGUGUGUGUCUGUGGGGCCACAAAUAUACUUGCUGAUGACCUGUUACCCAACAAGACCUUGAGGGAUACAAUUAAUAGAAUACUGGAAUCAAAUAAUAGCAGUGCAGAGCAUGGGGGUAGUGCUCUCCAAGUUCAAGAUAUGGAGUCAGCACGCAUUCUCCCACCUAAGAUUCCAUCUCCUUCACAAUCUGCAGCUUCAAAGGGUGAGCUGUUACCACCACCACUACCACCACCACCACCUCCACCUCUUAAGGAGGAAAAUUCUAUAGCCCAGGAGAUUGCAGAAGAGGGUAAGAAUGGCAGUGCUCCUCAGCAAAUGUUAGAGAGAGGAAGAACUUUGAAGGUUGCAGAUGUUUCUGAAGCUACACACGAGUCCGUCAGUGUUAAAGAACCUGUAUCCCCGGGAAGUGCUCCAUUGGCUGAUGAAGAGGUUCAGCAAAAGCCUGUAGUUGGGGAGGCAGGAAAGAAAAAGAAGAAGAAAAAAACACGAUUGGCUUUGAACCCUGCUGCUGCUGAGAUGCAGUGGAGAGCUGCUCAAGAUCUUGCUGCCGAGAAUUAUAUGAUGUCCAUGGGUCCUGCUGCCUAUAAUCCAUAUUGGACAGGCAUGCAACCUGGACUAGAUGGGUUUGGAGCCCCUUAUCAUGGUGCCAUGCCAUACAAUCCUUAUGGGAUGGGUCCUCUAGAUGUGCCCUUUAUGCCGCCUCCUGUCGUACCACAUGAUCCAUUUGGCGGACAAGGUUUUAUGCUGCCUUUCGGUCCUCCAAUGCAGAGGGACCUUGCAGCAGACUUUGGGAUGGGAUUUAAUGCUGGCCCACCAAUCAUGAGCAGAGAAGAAUUUGAGGCUAGAAAGGCUGAUCUGAGAAGGAAGCGUGAGAGCGAGAGACGUGGAGAGAGCAGGGAGUUCCCUAAAGACAGGGAACAUGCAAGGGAAGUUGGGAGCACUGCUGAUGGUCCUUCCCUGAAACCCAAAUCUAAAGCUCCGUCGAGCUCCAGCCGUCCCCGCCAACCUGAGAGGCCUUCCCCAGACCUUGACCACCGCCGACGUGAGAGGCCAUCGCCAGACCUUGAUCACCACCGCCGACCUGAGAGGCCAUCGCCAGACCUUGACCACCACCGCCGACCUGAGAGGCCAUCACCAGACCGUGAUUACCCCCGCCGAUCUGAGAGGUUGUCUCCAGACCGUCGAUCGCGUGACCCUGAACUUCCUCGCCCUUCUUCCAAGAAAAAGUAUGAAGAUUAUGACGAUCAUCACCAUGAGGACCGCCAUCAGCGCGAGCAUACCCAUCGCAGUAGCAGUAGCCAUCACCGUUCAGAAUCUUCAGCUAGCGCCAAACCAUCCUCCAUAGGCCCAUCUGAACCGCAAUCCAAAUCCGUUGAUAAGAGGAAGGCGAGUGUUUUUUCUCGUAUCAGUUUCCCAGCUGAAGAUUCAGCAGCAGCUUCAAAGAAGCGAAAGGUGCCAUCCUCGAGUGAAGUGCCAGUGAGUUCUUCGGCGAGCCACAGGGGUGGCACAACAAAUGGGUAUCAUGGAGAGUACAAAAGACCACCGCCGCCGACCUGAGAGGCCAUCGCCAGACCUUGACCACCACCGCCGACCUGAGAGGCCAUCACCAGACCGUGAUUACCCCCGCCGAUCUGAGAGGUUGUCUCCAGACCGUCGAUCGCGUGACCCUGAACUUCCUCGCCCUUCUUCCAAGAAAAAGUAUGAAGAUUAUGACGAUCAUCACCAUGAGGACCGCCAUCAGCGCGAGCAUACCCAUCGCAGUAGCAGUAGCCAUCACCGUUCAGAAUCUUCAGCUAGCGCCAAACCAUCCUCCAUAGGCCCAUCUGAACCGCAAUCCAAAUCCGUUGAUAAGAGGAAGGCGAGUGUUUUUUCUCGUAUCAGUUUCCCAGCUGAAGAUUCAGCAGCAGCUUCAAAGAAGCGAAAGGUGCCAUCCUCGAGUGAAGUGCCAGUGAGUUCUUCGGCGAGCCACAGGGGUGGCACAACAAAUGGGUAUCAUGGAGAGUACAAAACGACUACUGGAUCAAGGAAGAGUACCACUGCGAGUGUGGAUUAUGAGAGCAGUGAUGAUGAUCGGCACUUCAAAAGGAAGCCUUCAAGAUUGAGAUAGUAUAUGAUGAGGGAGAGACUGGAUCAAAAAGAAUCUUGCAUGGAUAUAAAUACAGCGCGGGCAUCUUUGAAACAUUCAAAUCUGGAUCGACUUUCCUGAGUGAUACCAUCUACUUCACAAAGUUCUCAGUGCAACGUUAUGAGUUUUUUAGUUUGAUCCUUGAGAGAUGGGAACAGCACAAAUUUGCUCAUCCAAGGAUCGUCAAAACAUGAACGUUCUAGUGAAUUGUUGUAGAUUCUAUCUAAGAAUUGUAUUAUCUUAUGAAUGCUACAUAGUUGUUUUAGUUAAUUGCAAACAACACCGAAAUUUCAAAAAUAAGAUCGCGCGUUCUCCAUUUUUAUGGCAAUUUUCAUUAUUA